rnacentral:rRNA from 1 species
UAGCCGUAAACGAUACUCGCUAGGUGUCGGCCACGGUGCGACCGUUGUCGGUGCCGUAGGGAAGCCGUGAAGCGAGCCACCUGGGAAGUACGGCCGCAAGGCUGAAACUUAAAGGAAUUGGCGGGGGAGCACCACAACGGGUGGAGCUUGCGGUUUAAUUGGAUUUCAACGCCGGAAAUCUUACCGGGACCGACAGCAACAUGAAGGCCAGGCUGAAGACUUUGCCGGAUUAGCUGAGAGGUGGUGCAUGGCGUAGUCGUGU